GACAGAGGCCCCAAGCGUUAGGCGGAAUCACUGGGCUUAAAGCGUGUGUAGGCGGAUCGUUAAGUGUCUUGUGAAAUCCCACGGCUCACCCGUGGAACUGCUGGGCAUACUGGCGAUCUUGGGCCAACUAGGGGCAGUCGGAACAAGCGGUGGAGCGGUGAAAUGCGUAGAUAUCGCCUGGAACGCCGACGGUGAAAACAGAUGACUGGGGGUGUGCCGACGCUGAGACGCGAAAGCCAGGGGAGCGAACGGG
rnacentral:rRNA from 1 species